GAACAUGUAAACACAAUCAGGUAAACACGAGUACUGAUAAGCUAAUUAAAAACACUCGUUCGCCAUGAAAUGCAACACUUGGUUCAUUAAACAUACUUGCAUAUAUAUCAAUACAGUUUUUGGCUUGUAUAUGUACUCACAGGGAUCUUGUGGAGGGGCCGCCAGCCAGUCGCCUUGCGUGUCAGUCAAGGCCGUGAAGGAGCAGCGGGAUGCACAAGAUAUUAACACUACACUGGACGAUCAGUCUCACGUCACUCAUCCGAAUGAAUUCACGUAAUUUAUCACCUCUCACCACUCUGGCCACGCCUUGACACGUGUCCCUCCCGGUGCAAGUCAUCAUUACCUUCCUAAAUAACUACCCCUUGCUGGCGUUAUGACAUUCCUUCCUGGCCACUACAUAUAGUACAGCUGAAUAUAUGACAGGGGAAUGAUCUACAUCACAUCAAUAGAAAAAUACUCAAUUGUAGCUAUUAGUUGACGUAUAUCGCUAUAAAAGAGCUAUACUGAAAGCUUAGUGUGGCUGAGAGGGAGAGAGAGAGAGAGAGAGAGAGAGAGAGAGAGAGAGAAUUUUAGCUUGACAAUAACGAAGACAGCCACACCUUAUUCAUUCCACAGCAUGUACUGAGACGUGAUCUUUAGUCUUGCACCGCUGUUCUGAAACACUUCUAAGCCACACCACUACUUUCAGGAGACCCUAGUUAAAGCUACGCGGUUUUUCUUUAAGAUGUUUUUACGGCUCUAGUGGCAGAUUAAUAAAAUUUCUACAUUAUUAAGAAGAGAAACAGUCCUGAGAAUCCGGCUAAUCAUCUGUUGCCUUUGAAAAUUGUCGUAGUGGGAGAGCAGAGUGUGAAGUCUUUCCGAGUACAGUUACACUCACAACCUCUCCUCCCCAAGCCCUCGAGUGCCCCCACCAUCGUGACACUCAAUUAUCUGCCGUCCAUCAACACGCUUAAGGCUAAUAAGGAUUUGAUGACAGAAAAAGAACCACUCAAAUGAUCAAAUUUCUUUAGUAAUGGUUGUAAGUUCCAGAAUUGAUAAUAUUAACACUGUCCACUGUCUUCAUGAUUCUUGCAUACAUGAGGGGAGUGGAAGGACAGCAUGACAGGACAGAACACCCUCAGCUUAUGGAGAGAGAGAGAGAGAGAGAGAGAGAGAGAGAGAGAGAGAGAGAGAGAGAGA